CCCAGGAACCUAUGGUAUAAAGGCCCACACUCCUAAGGCCCUCCCUCUAUAACCCAGCUCUUCCUGACUUCUCCAGCUUCAUUUCCCACCACUCCUCUUAAGUACCCAUUACUCCAGCCAUGCUGACCCACUUACUUAUAGUGCAAAUAUUAUACUAAGCUAUUCCAUUUGCCUGGAAUAACUCUUUUCACUAUUUCCUUAUAGUUUCCACUCCCACUUACUAAUCUUACUGGACUCAAUUUAAAAAUCACCUCCUCUGUAAAAUAUUUUAAGACUCCAUUCUCCCAGACUUAAACUCAAAGUCAAAUCGCACCCUUCUUCCCUUCUGCCUGGAUCCCUAAAAUAUACUACGACAUUACUCAUCACGUAGUAUUUUUAUUUUACAAUUCUAUCCUUUCUUAUUAAUCUCAUGUACUCCAAAGAGUCAAGCCCAGGGCUGUCUUCAGUUUAGUAUUUAAAAGGCUUUCAUAAUACAUUAAAGCAAUUAGAUGGCUCCUCGAGAGGUGUGUGUGUUGUGUGGGUGGGGUACAGUUCUUCUGUUGAAUUUCUUAAUAGUGCAUUCAUAUUCUUCUUCAUUUUCACAUUUUCUAACUCUUUCAUCUUACCUCACGACAGGUUUUUUCCCCUAGACAAACUCUACUUCAGAGUCUCCCAUGUUUCAGGCCCUGUGUUAAAUAUACAUUUUCUGAUUUAGAAGCCUACCUGAGACUAAAUCUUCCAACAAUGAAGGGCUGGUACUGGUAGUCAAAGGUUCCUGAUCAAUAUGUCAUUUGCUGGGUUCCUGCAUCAGUGUAGAACCACCUGUUGCUGACGAUCUUUUGAUUAACAUAUAUAACAUAUGUAUCCGUCACUGGAUUCCGAAAUAUGAGACCAAGGACUGUGCCCCAUAUUUUUGCCAACCAGUGUAUCUCCAGUGCUUGAAUAUUUGUUGACUGAAGAAAGGAAGGAAAGGAGCUGCUUCAGAAAGCAGCAACAUAGGAAAGGGGGAAAAAAAACCUUCAGGAAUACAAAUAGACCACCUUAGGCCAGCCAUUCCCGCAAAGCCAAAACCAGUUUUCCCAGUCCCAAUUCCAACUCCAGCAAAUCUUACCCAUACACAGAGCUCUCCUCUAAUUGAGGGAUUGGCUGUAAUAAAUCUGACAAGAUCAGUUGCAAAUCAGCAAGUGGCAAUCCUACCUGCACCAGUUCUAUCCCUUUCCACUCUACUAAAAAUUGAACUCUCUAAGGAUAGGCAUAGGUAAAAGAAAGGACAAUGAGGGCUUACGCAGUCUUUCUUUAGGGUAGAACUUGGCUCCUGAUGGCAAAGGAAUCCAUUUUUAUCCAACAAGAAAUAACGCACAUAAUCCCAAUCUGAGUCAACUACACUCAGCAACUGAGCCUUAUCCUAGGUCCUGGAGUCAGGAACUGCUCCCCUGAAUCUCACAUCCUGAUAUCCAACUGCCUCCUGGGCACCUCCACCUAGAUGUAUCCAUCAUAAGCACCUCAGACAAGUCCAAACUUGUCUUCCUUUAAAACUCUGUUCCUCUCUCUGGCCCCCCUGUUCAGUGAAAGGCAUCAACCACCCAAGCCAAAAACCUGGCACUCUUUCCAUGGCUCCUUCCUCCUCUUUGACUAUACCCACAUACAACCUGUCAUAAAUCCUGUCUUUUCUACCCCCUCAAAAGUAGCUGAAUCAGCUACCCUGAAGAGGUAUUUACUAAACAAAGAUGGGAUAAUUUGAGCAUCACUUAAAAAUUAUUAAAUAGGGCACAGUGGCUCACACCUGUAAUCCCCGCACUUUGGGACGCUGAGGCGGGUAGAUCGUUUGAGUCCAGGAGUUCAAGACCAGCCUGGGCAAUAUGGCAAAACCCCGUUUCUACCAAAAAUACAAAAAAUUAGCUGGGUGUGGUGGUGCACGCCUGUGGUCCCAGCAAUUAAGGAGGCUGAGAUGGGAGGAUUGCUUCUUGAGCCCCGGGAGGCAGAGGUUGCAGUGAGCAGAGAUCGUGUCACUGCAUUCCAGCCUGAGUGACAGAGCAAGACCCUGUCUCAAAAAAAAAAUAAUUUUUAAAAUGAAAAAAAUAUUAAGGGGAAAAAUCAGUAUUUAUCUUGCCUUUCCUAGAUGAAUUAUACCACAGGGUAAUAAACAGCUAUGGACAAAUUUCUUUAUAGAAGCAUUCCAGAGGAUAAACAAACAAGAAAUACUGGAAUUAGAAUAACACCGUGAAAUAAUAGAUCCUAGAUACCAAUCAUCAAACGCUGCUAACCAUUACAAAAAGAAAGAACAAGACAGUACAUAUCUUCUGAUGGAAGAACUCAACACCCCCAUGAAGUAGUCUUGCCAAAAAUGUUGGAUCUGAAGGCUUGAAGUUGACUAAGUCUCUAUAUCCAUCUUCUAAAAUAAAAGAACUACAAAGUUCAGAAUAACACAUUCAUCUACAUUACAAGGAUGUAAUCGGCAAUAUCUGGGUGUGGUAAAUUCAGCAAGACAAACCACCAACGUCUCAACUUAGAGGGGGAAAAAAGAUGGAGGAGAAAAUCUACAGAUUAGGAAAACUAACCUGGGCAACAAAGUGAGAUCCAUCUUUACAAAAAAUUUGCCAGGUGUGGUGAUGCAUGUGCCUGUAGUCCUAGCUACUUGAGAGGCGUGAGUAUCACUUGAGCCAGGAGUUCUAGGCUACACUGAGCUGUGAUCAUGCCACUGCAUUCCAGCCACUCCAGCUUGGGUGACAGAGCAAGAGUGAGAGUCUGUCUCUUAAAAACAAAAAACCCUCGCAUCACUGCACUCCAGCCUGGGCAACAGAGCACGACUCUGCCUCAAAAAACAAAAACAAAAGAACACCAAAUAAACAAACAAACCCCACACUUUUAAAGGAUAAGGAUACAUACUGGAAUAUUAACAAAUGAAAUAAUGAUACUUAAGAUUUGCUUCAAAAUAAAAUGGAAAAUGAAUGGGUGGAACUAUGAGUAGGACAGGGUUAGCCCUUCGAUGAUGGUUGUUGAGGCUGGGUACAUGGCCUCAUUAUACUACUUUGUAUUUCUAUUUUUGUUUUAUAAAAAUUAAAGCACACAAACAAAUCUUGAAUCCAUCUAUUUGUUUCUGUCAUCACUCUCACAGUCUUGACCACCACUAUCUCCCAUCUGGCUUAUUUUAGUAGCUUCCUUUAUGGGUAUGUCUUGCUUGCUCCUUGCUUUUUCCUUUCUCUUUUUCUGCAUCACCUUCCUGCAAUCCAUUCUCCAUCCUGGCUGCUAAGACUCAAAACCAUGCCAGUUCUACUUAAAACCUUUCACGGCCUUCAGAAUAAAGCACCUUCCCAACCUCAUAAGAGCCUUCCUCUCCCUUCUCCCUUCUCAUAUUCCCAAUGCUCUCAGCAAAUAGUGCUAUUUGCAGUUUCCCAAAUGCGCCUUUGCAUGUAGUGUUACUUCUGCCUAGCUAGUUUCCAUGAAUUAUUUAAUGAUCAGCAAAUUCAGGCAUGACAUCUUCUAUGAAAUAUUCUCCUACUCUUCCCUGCCCUAAAGGUUCCAAUUCUAUGAAUGUCCACCAUUUCAUCCCUUUGUGUGCCUGCCUCCAUGUGUCUAUGGGUCUGUGAAUAUUCCAAGAACAAGGGACCAGGGUUUGAUUCAUUUCUGUAUUCCUGGAAUCUAUCACAGAACAUAGCAAAAAUGGGUACUUGAUAUAUGUCUGAUGGAUUAAAAAAAAAAGGCCUAGGCUUCCAAGAAAUCCAUAAUUCUAUAGAAAGAGCUAAAUAAAAUAAGGGGCAGCCUGGAAUUAUAUACUUUGGAGUCAGACAAACUUGGUAUCAAAUAGCAACUAUACAACAUGCAUUAAUUUUGUAAACUUGGGCAAGGCACUUCAAUUCUCCUAAGUCUGUUAAAUGGGAACAGUGAUUCUUCAGGGUUAUUGAUUAAAUAAGUAUACAGUUCAAACUAACUAAAAUUAUCUUUAAUAACACAACUCUAUGUUCACGUGACAGUGAGGUAAUUUAACAAACUCCAAGAACACAGGGUAUGUGCCAUCACCCGCUGGCAGCUUGUCUGACCCCAAAGGCCAUGGGCACCUCCCUGUCAAUAGGAACUUGAUAAACUGAGGAAAGGGGAUAUUGCUUCCCUGCUACUUUCUAAGUUCCUGCUCCCUUUCUGUGUAUAUUCACUCAUCUUUCUCUUUGGUGAAUCCUGAAAUAUUAUUCAAUCCUGGGCUUUGGAACUCAGGUUUUUGUUAGUUUAACCUUUAAAUAUGUUGAGUAAAGGGAACAGGUAUCAGAGAUUGGGAUACAUACUCCAGCACAAGGGACAAUAAAACUUGAUGCUGCUCCUGGACAUCCUGGAACUGCAACUCAGGCCCCAUUCUCUCAAGCUCAGGACUUUUUAUUUUUUCUUUUAUAGAAAGAUAGAAUAAGCUGGGCAUGGUGGCAUAUCCCUACGGUCCCAGCCACUCACGAGGCUGAGGCAGAAAGGUCACUUGAGCCUAGGAGUUCUGGGCUAUAGUACACUACGCCAAUCCGGUGUUCCACACUAAGUUCAGCUUCAAUAUGGUGAUCUCCCAGUAGCAGGGGACCACCAGGUUGCCUAAGGCGGGAUGAACUGGCCUAGGUCAGAAAUGGAGCAGGUCAAAACUCCCAUACUGAUCAGAAGUGGGACUGUGCCUGUCCGUAGCCACUGGAUUCCAGCCUGGGCAACACAGUGAGACCCCAUCUCUUUAAAAUUAAUAGGAAGAUAGAAUAAAAGAGAGGUUCAGCAAAGAAAUUCUAGGGUUAAAUCGAGAUUCAAAUUUUGGAUCCUGUAAAUUUACUAGCUAUGUGACUUUAGGUAAAUUGCAUAACUUGUCUCAAUUUCCUCAUCUAUAAAAUAGGUUGUUAGCAUUACCUACCCCAUGGAGUCUCUGUGAGAACUGAAAGAGAUAAUCUUAUGAAAAAUGUUCAACACAAUGCCUGGCAAACAGUAAAUUUUCAAUAAACUUAGUUAAUAUUACUUAGAAUAAUGUUUUUCAUGAAAUAAUACCUGGGUGGGCACGGUGGCCAACACCUACAAUCCCAGCACUUUGGCAGUCUAAGUUAGGAUGAUCGCUUGAGGCCAGGAGUUCAAGACCAACCUGGGCAACAUAGCGUAACCCUGUCUCUACAAAAAUAAACAAGUAAAUAAAUAAAUAAGCAAGCAAGCAAGCCAGUCAGCCAUGGUGGCAGACAACUGUAGUCCCAGUUACUUGGGAGGCUGAAGCAUGAGGAUUGCUUGAGCCCAGGAGGUUGAGGCUACAGUGAGCCGUGAUCACGCCAUCGUACUCCAGCCUAGGAGACAGUCUCAAAAAAAUAAAUAAAAAAAAUAAUUUCGUGCUUAGGAGGAAAAAUGACAACCAGAAAACAAAAUUUAAAAAAGAAAAAAGCACUUUUUAGAUUUUAUUUUUAUUUUACGUUUCAGGGUACAUGUGCAGGUUUGUUACACAGGUAAAUGUGUGCCAUGGUGAUUUGCUGCAUGUAUCAACCCAUCACCCAGGUAUUAAGCCCAGCAUAUCUUAGCUAUUUUUCCUGAUGCUCUCCCUCCCCCACCCCCAACAGGCCCCAGUGUGUGUUGUUCCCCUCCCUGUGUCUGUGUGUUCACGUUGUUUAGCUCCUACUUAUAAAUGAGAACAUGCAGUGUUUGGUUUUCUGUUCCUAUGUUAGUUUGCUGAGGAUAAUGGUUUCCAGCUCCAUCCAAAGGAGCGGCAAAGGACAUAAUCCUAUUCUUUUUUAUGGCUGCAGAGUAUUCCAUGGUGUAUAUAUACCACAUUUUCUUUAUCCAGUCUAUCAUUCAUGGGCAUUUGGGUUGAUUCUAUGUCUUUGUUAUUGUGAAUAGUGCUGCAAUGAACAAAUGUGUGCAUGUAACUUUAUAACAGAAUCAUUUAUAUUCCUUUGGGUAUAUACCCAGUAAUGGAAUUGCUGGGUCAAAUGGUAUUUCUGGUUCUAGGUCUUUGAGGAAUCCACACACUGUCUUCCACAACGGUUGAACUAACUGACAUUCCCACCAACAGUAUAAAAGCAUUCCUAUUUCUCUGCAGCCUCACCAGCAUAUGUUGUUUCUUGACUUUUUAAGAAUCACCAUUCUGACUGGUGUGAGAUGGUAUCUCAUUAUGGAUUUGAUUUGCAUUUCUCUAAUGAUCAGUGAUGUUGAGCUUUUUCUCCUAUGUUUGUUGGCUACAUAAAUGUCUUAUUUUGAGAAGUGUCUGUUCAUGUCCUUUGCCCACUUUUUUAAUGUGUUUUUUUCCUUUUAAAUUUGAUUAAGUUCCUUGUAGAUUCUGGAUAUUACAUCUUUGUCAGAUGGAUUGCGAAAAUUUUCUCCCAUUCUAUAGGUUGUCUGUUCACUCUGAUGAUAGUUUCUAUUGCUGUCCUAUUUGUCAAUUUUUGCUUUUGUUGCAAUUGCCUUUGGUGUCUUCAUCAUGGAAUCUCUGUCUGUGCCUAUGUCCUGAAUGGUCCUGCCUACGUUUUCACCUAGGGUUUUUAUGGUUUUGGAUUUUACAUUUAAGUCUUUAGUCCAUCUUGAGUUGAUUUUUGUCUAUGAUGUAAGGAAGGGGUCCAGUUUCAAUUUUCUGCAUAUGACUGGUCAGUUCUCCCAGCAUCAUUUAUUAAAUAGGGAAACCUUUCCCCACUGCUUGAUUUUCUCAGGUUUAUUGAAGAUCAGAUGGUUGUAGAUGUGCAGCCUUAUUUCUGAGUUCUCUAUCCUGUUCCAUUGGUCUAUGUGUCUGUUUUUGUACCAGUACCAUGCUGUUUUGCUUACUGUGGCCUUAUAGUCUAGUUUGAAGUCAGGUAGCCUGAUGACACCAACUUUGUUCUUUUUGCUUAGGAUUGUCUUGGGUAUAUUGGCUCUUUCUUGGUUCCAUAUGAAUUUUAAAAUAGUUUUUCCUAAUUCUUUGAAGAAUGUCAAUGGUAGUUUAAUGGGAAUAGCAUUGCAUCUAUAAAUAACUUUAGGUGGUAUGGCCAUUUUGACAAUAUUGAUUCUUCCUAUCCAUGAGCAAGGGAUGUUUUUCCAUUUGUUUGUGUCCUCUCUGAUUUACUUGAGCAGUGGUUUGUAGCUCUCCUUGAAGAGGUCCUUCACUUCCCUUGUUAGCUGUAUUCCUAGGUAUUUUAUUCUCUUCAUAGUAAUUGUGAAUGGGAACUCAUUCAUGACUUGGCUCUCUGGUUAUCUGUUGUUGGUGUAUAGGAAUGCUUGUGAUUUUUGCACAUUGAUUUUGUAUCCUGAGACUGCUGAAGUUGCUUAUCAGCUUAAGAAGCUUUUGGGCAGAAAUGAUGGGUUUUUUAUAGGAUCAUGUCAUCUGCAAACAGACAAUUUGACUUCCUCUCUUCCUAUUUGAAUACCUUUAUUUCUUUCUCUUGACUGAUUUCCUGGCCAGACCUUCCAAUACCACAUUGAAAAGGAGUGGUGAGAGAAGGCAUCCCGGUCUUUUGUCAGUUUUCAAGGGAAAUAUUUCCAGCUUUUGCCCAUUCAGUAUAUGAUAUUGGCUGUGGGUUUCUCGUAUAUGGCUCUUAUUAUUUUGAGAUAUAUUCCUUCAAUGCCUAGUUUAUUGAGAGUUUUUAACAUGAAGGGAUGUUGAAUUUUAUAGAAGGCCUUUUCUGCAUCUUUUGAGAUAAUCUGUGGUUUCUGUCUUUAGUUUUGUUUAUGUGAUGAAUUACGUUUAUUGAUUUGUGUAGGUUAAACUAGCCUUGCAUCCUGGGGAUGAAGCCAAAGUGCUCGUGAUGGAUAAGCUUUUUGAUGUACUUCUAGAUUCAGUUUGCCAGUAUUUUAUUGAGGAUUUUUGCAUUGAUGUUCAUCAGGGAUACUGGCCUGAAGUUUUCUUUUUUUGUUGUAUCUCUGCCAGGU
rnacentral:lncRNA from 10 species